ensembl:lncRNA
UUUCACCUUUAUAUGUUUUGGUUUCUUCAUCUCUAAAAUAAAGCUGUAUGUAUCUCCUGAGAAACCUGUAUGCAGGUCAAGAUGCAACAGUUGGAACUGUACAUGGAACAACAGACUGGUUCAAAAUUGGGAAAGGAAUACAUCAAAGCUAUAUAUUGUCACCCUGCUUAUUUAACAUAUGCAGAGUAAAAUGCCAGGCUGGAUGAAGCACAAGCUGGAGUCAAGAUUGUGGGGAGAAAUAUCAACAACCUCAGAAUUACCUCUACUUCUUGAAGUUCUGAGACUAUCAUCCAUCACUUUCAGAAAAAAAGAAAAAUGUGAAUGCUUUACAAGCUUGCAUGCCAUCCUUGCACAGUGGCCAUGCUUAUCUUCUUGGUUUCAUUCCAAUUUUAUUAUCUGUGCUGCCAAAAUAGCUCCCUUUGGUGAUCUUUCCUCUGAGUGAAACAGUUGACAGCUAAGAAGCGCUUCUAGUUUCAACGUGUUUACCUGUUCACUUCUGUCUUUGAGACUGCGGUUUGCCCUGACACAAUGAACAAAUAUGCAGACGUUCAGAGACUAAGAGAUUUUCUUGGGAAGAGACAUAUAUUGUUAUUGUUGGUCAGUCUCUUAAGUCAUGUCCGACUUUUGCGACCCCAUGGACUGCAGGACGACAGGCUUCCCUGUCCUUCACUACCUCCUGGAGUUUGCUCAAACUCAUGUCCAUUGAGUCGGUGAUGCCAUCCAAACAUCUCAUCCUCUGUUGCCCCCUUCUCCUCCUACCCUUGGACUGCAAGGAGAUCGAACCAGUCAAUCCUAAAGGAAAUCAACCCUGAAUAUUUGUUGGAAGGACUGAUGCUAAAACUGAAGCUGCCAUACUUUGCCCACCUGAUAUGAAGAGCUGACUCAUUGGAAAAGACACUGAUGCUGGGAAAGACUGAGGGCAAGAGACAAGUGCGAAAACUUCUAUUUAUUUUAAAAGGGCAGGUUGAGGUUGUGUGUCUUUUGUGUUUGGCGAGACAUGUCAAUCCAGUAUGCAGAAGAGACAAAUUCUGUAGAAUUAGUAUUUCACAAAGAGAAUGAAAAUACUGUCAUUUAUAUAAGUAAAUGAGUUUUUCUUUAAAAAAUGAAAUUAUCCUGAGAAUGACUUUCAUAUCUUUUUGGUUAUACAUUUACAAGUAUAAUGUGAAGAAUUACCAUCUAUUUAGCUCUAGUGGGACUCAAGUCCUUUAGAGACCUCUGCAUACUGAUUUUCUCUGCCCUGUUUUCUCCUAUUUAUCAAAAGACACUGGCUUCUUAAUUAAUCUGCCUCUUUCUCCUGUACGCCUUAGAGUGAGAUUCUUAAAGGAAGAUCCAAACACGUCCUGCCUUGGAAUCAUCUGCACAAUUUUUUCCAUGUAGAUUCCUGGGCCAUAGUCCACCUUUACUAAAUCAAUUUUUCUGAGCUCGAGGCCCAGGAUUUUGCGUUUUUAAUAAAGUCAUCAACUGAUACACACAGAAUUUCAAAAUUCUUUCAAAAUGGGAAAACGUAUCUUCCAGGGAGUGGAAGCUUUAAUGUAAAAGUGGGGCAUGGGCAGAGGACUUAGAGCUUUUAUGCCAAGGGAACACAAUUACACUUCAAGAAGAAGUUUUAUAAACUUACACAUUAAAAAUGCA